rnacentral:lncRNA from 1 species
AUCCCCCUUACCACUGUUCUUCAUCUCUCUUAGAGACGACCCCAUGGAAACCCUAGCCGUCAUCCCACCCUCUCGCGUGAAACCCGGUGGCCUGAGCUCUGAUGACCACCAAAUUAACACCCCUAAGCCAUAUGACCACCCCGAAUCCAAAUCCACCAUCCGUUUCCCUCGAAUCAGCCUAGAACUCCUUGAAUCUUCGAUCGAAGAUUGAUUUGAUCCAAACCUAAAUCUACACCAACCAGCCCCAAAUUCACACCAAGCCUCCCCAUACCUCCAUCAUAACCUAACCAAUGUUGGUUUAGUUCGAAUCUACUUACAAAAGCUCGAAUCCCAAAUCGAGCCCGAGAACCCUAACAAAAACCAGUUAGGGAAUCCAGUCUAAAUAAAGGGGAGUUUUGGUGUUCAAUGAACCUUAGUUGACAUGUUCUCAACUGAGAACAAUCAAUUAAGGUCCAUUCAACCUCGAAAGAUUCAAAUUUAAAUUCAAGUUAAGUUUGUCCAUUUCUGAUAAAUUUGAGGUAUUUUCCUCUUUCUCUUUCUCUUUUCUUUAUUCUAUUUCUUGUUAGUUCAGUUCUAUUUUGGAUUUUUAUCAAUUGUUUUUCUGUUUCUUCUCGGUAUGACCUUUUAUUUUGUCGAAGCUUUUCUUCUGUUCAUUGUCGAUAUGUCUAGGAUAAAUUAUACAUUCGAUGAUUAAUCUCGUCGAAUAGUUAGGUUUUGUAAUAGUUCCCUGAUUCUGUCAAAUGCCAAUAAAAUUACCUAUGUGCCUGAUUUUUUUGAUUGUUUGUUGUUAAUUGGUAUGUAUAAUCGAUUAUGUCGUCGAUUAAUCAAUUCCAUAUUAGCUCCAUGUUCUGUUCAAAAUCAUCCAAAUCAUAUGGAUGAUCUGUUAUAUAUAUAAUCAAUCAUUUAAGCUUUGUCGAUGAAGUCAUUCAUAUAGUUUUGAAUUGGUUGGCUUUUCUGUUUAGCUUAUGUAAUCACAUUGGCAUUCUGUCAGUUGCUUGAUUAAUUCGGAUCUUUUUUGAUUAAUGGCUAAAUAUGUUAUAGCUGAAUUAGAAUUAGUUUUAGGUAAUUUUCUUUAGGUUUCACAAAUUGGAUUAUAGGGUGAAUGUAGGAAUUCCAGGGGUAAUUUGGGGAGUUCAAAAUUAAAAAUUGGUUUAACUGAGUAUUAUGGCCAGUAGGGCCCAAUGUGCUUUUAUUUGAAUUAAUUGGUAGGGGGACCAUUGAAAAUGAUACAUGUUUGACUACUUUUACUUAAUUGGAAUUAGGAAUAGUAGUUUAAUGAUAAAAAGCUGAAAAGGUACACAUAGAAGAGCAUAUUUGGGGUAUGGAAAUUAAAGUAAGGGGUAAUUGGAAGGAUAAUUAUAAAAGGGUAGUAAUAAUAAUAAAAUGGGAGGCAAAAGAGUCUUGUUUUUAGAUAUAUAAGGAUUCAUUUCAACACUAGAAAGGGGGAUGAAGAAUCUGUUAAGAAAUUUUUAGAUUAGAAAUUGAUAGUUUGGAAAGGAAUUUUAAGAUUAGAAGUUCAAAAAUAGAGAAGAGCUGAAAAUAUAGAACUAAAUUCUAGAAUAUCAAAAAUCAGAAAAUACUACUUGUCUCACUUCGGUUCACCUCUACCGUGACUGUUGAGUGUAUUCUUGAGUGUUACUGGAUUUCCAAUGUGACAUUCUUGGGUUUCCUAAUGUUAGUUGAUUUCUGGUAUUGCUGUUGUCUACUUGGGUGUUGUUUGAGUUGUUGUUCGUAUUGGAGUCCUAUUGCAUCUAUUACUGGACUCUUUCUAUUUGGUUUUCUUCAUCUAUACUGGGAUUUCUGCUGUCAUUACUUGUUCUUUGCUGUGUUGCUAUAUUGCUGUAAUCUGCUGCUGUUUGUUCUGCUGAUAUUGAUCUCUCUUCUUCUUUUGUUUGACAUUCCAGGUACACAGUUGUAGCCUUGCCCAUUUGUAAGUUGAAUUUUUUUUGAAGCAUGAGUAAAAGAUAGCCUUAAGGCUUGAAGACAUUAGUCAUAUUUGCAUUCUAAGUUGUAUAUGUAUAUGUUAGAUAGUAGUUAGGUGGUAUCAUGUGAGUAGUUGGAACUGUAGGAAUAAGUAUUAAUCCGCAGUAGUCUAGACUUGCAAGUUCAAUCCCAUGAUGAUAGUUAGGAAUAAUCGAUGAUGUAGCUAUUAUGCCAUUUCCAGUUUUCCAUUCAGUUAUAUCACAUUUAAAUAGACAGCAUGUGUAAAAAUAAUUAACCAACAAUUCUAAUUCUUCUAGCUUAUAAUUCGCCUAUUG